CUGAUGAUGUUUUCUUAGUUACUUCUUCUAUCCUACGCUUGAUUACAAGCCUUGGAAAAGUUUCACUGAGAACUUGUUGGCAGCUGGAAUGAUGGAAUGAAUAGCAGCUGGAGAUAUUGUGAAACCUGUGGCAUAAGUUGGAACCAGAAGCAAAACCUCCAUGAUUGGCUAGAAAUUGUCAUUAAUGCAUUUUGAUACAAGGUCGAAUUUGGAAGGCUCAAGAAGGGUUUCCUGCAAUAUAUUUGGCUUAUAGGAGGUGUGAUGAAAAUUGUUUGCAUUUGGCAAAAAUUAUGGACUAAUAGUUACAACCUUACUGAAGCUCACAACAGGAAGUGAAUAUUUUUGUUCUUUUAUUAUUUAUCUUGCUUGUGAACACUGAAUUUUGCGGGAAAUGUUAACUAAUGAGUAAUUGAUGUUGCA